rnacentral:lncRNA from 1 species
AGAAGUCAAAAUAUGUUCUCGUUGAUUUCAUUAGAAACUAGACUCAUUAAGCUUUAAUUACAUAAUUUAUUCAGCUUCUAACUCCACUCCCACAAUUUAUGGUGAUUUUCCAAAUUCACGUUACAGCUGCUGUCCCAAGCAGAUUUACUACAAUUUACUCUUUCACAACUCUUUGCAUUCAUAUUAUUUAAACAUGUAUAUCAC